UUUUUUCAGAACUCUCUCUCUUUUUUUUUUUUAACUUUGCACGCAGGAACCACUUUUGAUUUCAUCACAGCACAUACCACUGAUGAAUGAUGAAACGGUAUUUUGUUUGUAAAUUUAUGUUUGCAGUGAGUUUGGGGUUUGAACUGUCUUUUGGAAAAGCACAAGGUCAUAAUUAACUUAGUUCGUAAUUGAGGGAAAAAACUGUCAAAAGUGCCAACAACUGGACUGUGAAAUUAGCGAACUAAACUGGAAGAGUUGUCACCAGCCUAGUUGCCAGGUUUACUUGUUUUAAGCAGUUUGUUUCUGUGAAUUCCCUUAAAAAAUGUUGAUACCUUUGGGUAACACUUUUAGGCCUUGUUUAUGAAGUCUGCCUUUUAAUGCUAGGCUAAAAAAAAAAUCACAGACUAUUGAAAAUUAAUUGGUUUCUUUCUCAUUCAUUGUAAAGCCACAAUUGUCGUUGGUUGGUGCGUCGAUGAUUUGCUUAUCUUAUAAAAUCUGGCAACGUUGGUCUCCCGACGCACAGUGGGCGGAGUCUAGUACUAAUCUGCUUAUAAAUAAUAAUUGCACGCUAAACUUACGUUUUUUUUUCUUCAAAAAAACAGCUGGCCAUUUAAUUGGAUAGCUAAGUAAAACACUAACAACAACAUGACAAAUAUAAAUAAAUUGUUUUUAAGCACGGAGCUUACGCCUUGACGUGGAACGUCUUAAACGUGGAUCGACGUAAAAACUGAUGACGCAGUUUGUAAAUAAUCAUGAACUGGCGGCGCGGCUAGUUGUUGUUGGCUAACGGCUAUACUUUACGAACGAGUUUGUGGAAAUAUUUAAAUGGAGUCGAAUAAAGUCUUGACUUUGACUUAUGGCAACACUGAGUAAGGAAAAGUAGAAGGAUUUCUUUGUUCAAACCACCAUAUCAAGAGGAGAAACUACUAAAACUACUUCCGCUGCUGCUGCACCUGUUACAGAGAUUGUGGGAUAUGGAGGUUCCUGUUAGCUGAGCCGGAGAGGUCCCAUAGCCGGGUAGAAAAUCUCAGAGGGACAUGCAUCUCUUUGGAGCAACAUCCAUCAAAGUGCUGCAGCUUGACCUUCACAAGAGUAGGACUGAUUACAAUGAAGCUCCUGCCCGUUGGCGACUGCGGUUCGUGUGAGCAUGUGUGUGAUAUGAUCGUGUUCAUGAAGGUGGAAGUCACCCCUCUCCUGACCCUCUUUAAGCCCCAGGGGUCAGACAUUGUUCAGAAGGACGCAGACACCCAGGCUGAUGGAUGACCGUUCAGACCAUUUCCCUGGGUUCAGCUCCACUCGGGAAAUCGUAAUUCAACCCCUGAGAGAGGAUAAAUGCAGGCCCGGCCCUGGUUACGGCUCUGCGCUAAUUUUCCUCCGAAUCCAGGAUGCGAUGAAGAGGCUGAAGAGCUCAGCUGCCACGGAUGAAAUUCCUGAAGAGGUGGAGUAAAUCUUCUCUCACAUGAUGUUCCAUCUCUAAACAAAAACAUCCGCCACAGUUUGUUUUCUUCUUGGAAACUAACAUUUGUAAAUCUCUCAGCACAACAGACCACACCCCCUUGAAUAAAUCAGCAUUUUUAUCUCAUUCGAUCUGUUUUCACACAACACAUAAAACAUGAGGAAAAUCACAGAUUAUGUUUUUGGACCUUGGUGCUUUUCCACAGCUCAGUCGGGUCAGAAUGUGAUAAUAUUUUGUUUUUCUUUUAAACCCAGCUAAAUAUAGCUUAGAAAGGCUCAAAGAUAUCUAAAGGUUACCUUGAAAUAGCUAAUACUUAGUUCAAUAAUGACUGAAAGUAAUAUUAAGAUAACCAUAUUAAAGCAUACUGUACAUGUAAGGUAAAAGGCAGUGGUUCUCACAAUUGGGAGUGGUCUCCCUAUAGGGGGCAGCAGUGCAAACUAAUUUAAUUCUUAAUAUUUUUUUAUUUUUGCCACAAUUAAUAGUAGUAAUUUGUAAUUUGUAGUAAUAGUUUUACUACAAUAGUUAAUUUGAUUUACUUAUAGAAAAAUAUUUCAAAUGAAGUUGAGGAGUUUUGAAGCAAUAGCUGUGGAUUUGUCAGGGUGUGAUGGAGUUGCUAAAGGUUAGCCCAAAGAUGAGUAAAAUGUAUCCUAAACUAUCUUAGAAAAACAAUGGUUAAAUACCACAAAAGCUGAAAUAAUAUUUUUAUAAACACAAUGAGAAAUGUAGAAUUUAAAAAAGAAACUGUGGGCCAGAAAAAUCCUGUCCAAGAUCCAUGACUGACCCCUUUGCCAUACUUUGACCAUUAUUUUUCAAUUUCAUUAUUUUCAACCCUAACCCUUCAUCAGUCUGCACCACCACUUAGAUGGUCGUUAAAUUAGUUGUGAAAGUAUAGUUUCAUAUUCUUUUUUGUUUUGUGUAUUUAUUCAGAAUUUUUCAUUCCAACUCUUAACAAAUGAACGCUUCCUCCUUUGUCCAUGUAAAUGCCACGGUGCCACAGACAUAUUUUCUCACGGUGGACACUCUGUCCCUCUCCUGAGGGUCAUGACCAGGGAAGUCUCACUAUUAUUUGAGUUCACAUUACAUGUGUGGAACGUUUCGCAAUGCCUAAGCUCAACAGAAAUACUUUUUUUUUUGCACGUGGCACCGGGGGAAAAGCCCCUCUUACAUGAAAACACACAUCAGGUAGUCUCACAUCCCUAAACUUUAAAGGAACUCACUCAAUUUCAUGUACAGAAUACCAGUGGAAAACAAAUUCAACCACUUUUCCCACACACACGCACACACAGCUAUAAUGCUGAGAACUAGGGUCUGGAACUGGUUUAGAUCAAGAAGGAAAAUAUCGUUCUCACGAUGGGAGUCAGUAAUGCCCCCGUGGAAAAUGUCUUCUGUGGCUAAAGGUCUAACUUUGCUUAGUCAUCUCUAUGUAGGCCUUAUGUUCCGUAGGUUUAUGGUCACUAGUUGUCCCUCAACCCACAAGUAUGACAUUUGCACAGGGACAUUAACCAGGUAUAGUUUAAGUCCCACAUGUAAAUGCUGUUGGGCCAAGUGCCAAUAACAUCAGUGUACAAAAGGUGUGCAGUCAGAGUGACUGUUUGAAGAAAAAAAGAUUUGCCUCCAACAACAUUUUUGCCGUAUUGUUUGAACUGCCUGACAAUUUCCGUUGUGUCCUGGUAAGAUUUGUCUCUGUGAUUCCACUAGAUGGCAGUGUACAGCUGUGGUAAAUUCACGAGGCCUGUUGGGCCAAACUUUAUUUGGCCUAAUAAACAGAAGUUCAGUUAAAACAACAACAAUUAAAAAUAUAAACCAAAUGCAGUUUUAAUAAUACUUUAACUAUCACAACCAGACCAUUUCCUCUUUUCAUAAGUUUCGUUUUUUCAUCUGGAAGCUUCUACCGCAAGAGCUCUACGUCUUCUCCUUGGUUACAUAAGGAGGAUUUUUCCCGUUCACCCUCCGCUGAGUUGAGCUGUGUAAAUUCAGAGUCGCUUCAGUGGUCAUUACGGCUGGUUCUAUUCCUGUCCUUUGACGGGGCUCAGCAGAGCAUAGCGAAAUGCAAAGUUUGUGGCAAAAAAAAAAACACAUGCAACACUUCCGGCUGCUGCUUUUGUAGGAGCAAAACAGCUUGAGUUCUGUGUACAAAUGGGUUUUUUUUCACAUGCUUGUGAGAUAUUUAAAUUCAUAAUACGGUAGUCUGAACUGUGUCCUUUUCAAAGCACUCUGACAUUAUUGUGUCAGAUUCUGUGAGUGUGAUUCACAGCAGGAGUGUAUGUGAUCAGGUAAUUUACCACAGUCAUGUGAUGGUCAUGUUUGGUUUUUCUGAGGAGGAAGUGUGUACUGUCACUGUACUUUCUACUCAGGCAUGUGGUCGAACUUUUUUACAGAAAUGAACUUUAAAUAAUCGGCAGCAGCACCUGUCGCCUGGUGGCUGUAUUUGGCCUCCUACUCAGGAAAAGAGUUGCGUGGAGAUGUAGGUAAAAUUAGAAGCAAAGCUUCAAACCACAAGGAAUUACUUCCCCAAUCGUUUGGAACGAUAAUUAAAUAUAAAAACAAAAAGGAACAAAAAGCAUAAAAUAUUGCUGUUAGCUAAAUGUCAGCGCAAAAGAAAAAUGAUAAUUCUCACUCUUAUUAUACAUAUUAUUGUGGUUAUAUGUUGUUAGGUUAAAACUUUAAAAUGGACUAUUUCAAAAUGUCUAUGUAUAUUGUUUAUAUUCAAAUGUCUAAAUGUAAUAGUGACAGAUGUGACGGCAUCAGUGCAGCACCUGUACAGGUUGCUGUCCACAAACCAGUGAUUACAUCACCUUGUCACUUGUGAGAUUAGUUACUUCAGAGAUCAGUUACUACAAGAGACAUGGACAAAUAUCUUCACUCUUAUUGAUAAAUAGGUAACUCCAAUAAUCCUGAAGGAAGAGAGUAAUGAUAACAUUCAAUAAUAAUAAAAAAAAGAAUCUGACUCUGAUUCACGUAGGCUUCAGUGAAUCAGUGAGAGGCUCUGUGAUGGUUUGGGUCUGCAUUCUUCUUGGUCUAGACUAGUUUACAAUGCUGUCUUAAAUUUUAUUUACUUAUAUUUUAUUACAAGGUUCACAUACAGUAACUUUUUUCAUUAUUUUCGUAAGACUCUGGACCAUAAUUUAUAAAAGAAUUUCUCUCUAGGAUUUUACACCUAAUCUAAUUUGGUAAUCUCAGUAAAUAUUCUGUCGAAAGCAAAUAUACUUUAGGUAUGAGGACCAUUGUCUUUUGUUAAAUUUCAUGUUU